GUUUACUUCCGUAACAAAUGAAAACCCACACAGCUUGUAAACAGAUCUUGAUUUAAACCAAUACAAACGAUCAUUUGAUAUCGAGUGAGUUAUUGUGAUGCAGUGUUAUUUAUGGCAAUGCCAUAAAGCUCAGUUUGAAAAAUAUAAGUGUAACGGAAAAUGUCGGACUACAAGGAAAUCAUUCGCAACCCGGAAACCCUGAACUGGUUUAAGGCGGCCAUGGGUAUGAACAUAACACGUGACUGCUUGCUUGAUAUUGUAAGGGAGAUAAGUCAGGUGUGUUAUGAUAGCAUUCGUAGAGAGAUCAAGCAACAACACGGUGUCAUAGAGAGCGUUGUCUGUAAUCAGUGCCACACUCCAAAUGUCGUACCGUGUGACCCUACGAACAUAUGCUGCAAAAAAAAAACGUGGGAAAUGCGAAUUUCAUGUUAUUCACAAGCCGCAAAAUUGCCCAAAAAAUAAUUUAUGCAAUGCAAUUUGUAAACAACUAGUAAAACAACACCGAUUUCGCUCUCAACAAAACCCACACAGCUGUAAAGGUCCUACGUGGAUAAACACGGAUGCCUCUAAAUGGUGCUCAGAGCCCUGGCAGAUUUCAAAGUGCUUCAUGUCAAAAGAUGGGUAUCAAGACGUCAACCAAGCAGAAGGUACCGACUUUAACGGCAUAUUCAACGUCAUAUACAACUGUGAAUACUUCCAAACGUAUUUCAAGGACGACCUGACACAACUGGAAAAUGUGUGCACGAAGGCCAGAGAUGUGGGGCGUGCUGUACGACAUUCCUCCACAAUGUCCAUGACGAUACAGAACAGUGACAGAGCCAUCGACACGCUGGUAUCGCUAAUGCAGAACCUAAAACACGUCGAUCACCAAGCUGCGUCACGGACGGCAGUGGACAAGUUAACACAGGUUUGACGUGUACAUGUUUAGUGUUCAUUUUAGCUCACCUUGUGGUCAGGUCAGCUUGAUCAGACAGCCUGCUACUAGUACCACGUAACUAAAUACAACUUGUACCGUGGGCGGCGACUAAACCGGCUCCGCCACUAUACAAUCACGAUAAUUCGGACUGCUUAGUGAGGAGGGUAUCUGGGUAACCCAGCAGCACAAAGAAUAAGACCUGACAUAGGGCAUAUAAAAACUGUAUAGUGUAAACGGCUAACCCAGGGGCAGUGGGCAUAUGACACACAUGUACGGGAAAAUAAGACACCCCGCUAGUACCACUAGUCCAGGGGAGCACAUUAGACAAGGGUGAGUACAACUUCAGUCUACCGGCCAAGGUUACGCAUUGCAGGUUAGGUUUUGGUGAAUCAUAGGCUUAGAGAGUCAACCCCUACUUCCAAUCCGGAGCAGGAGUACCCAAUGCGGUCUAAAAUUCUUUCUGGUAAUUCAUGCGACGCUGCUAGUGCAAAGAUGUAUCGGCUUUGCCUUUCCACUGGACUUAUAAGCUUGUGUGGAGAAUGAGAAAGUGUUAGAACACUGUUUUCAGGAUAAUCGAAUGACCUCCAGAUCAUCAGUGAUGCCCGAAAUACCUCAUUUAGCAAUUAUGAAUUAGUGAGACUACAGUUGGACAUCGCUAUACUGCAAGAGACGCGGCUUGAUGAUUCUGGAACAAUAAGAGAAAAUGACGUUACAUUCUUCUGGCAAGGGAGUGCCACAGAGUAUGGCGUUGGUUUCUCCGUCCGUAAUCCUCUGCUGGGGAUGAUAAAACCAUGCCAACAAGAAACUGCAAGAAUGUUAUCACUACGUCUCCACGCCACCUUUGGGCUAGGCAACCUGAUCAGUUUUUCUGUACCAACAAUCAGUUCCACCAAGAAGUUCAAUGACGAUUUCCACUGCCAGAUAGACUUGCUUAUCAACAGGAUCCCGACAGAAGAACACCUGGUAUUGCUGGUUGACUUAAAUAACAGAGUGGGCGCCGAUCACGACUCUUGUUCCCCAUGUCUGUAAAACAUCGGCGUUGGAAGGAUAAAUAAAAAUAGGCAACGACUGCUUGUGCUGUGCAAAUACCAUGACGUCAGCAUAACCAACAUCCUAUUCCAGACCAAACCACCACAUAAAUGACUAAAGAAGGCAAUCGAGAGCCUGUCCUCAGGAAAAGCCUUACGGAAAGAUUGCAUACCUGAAGUCCUUAAAUGCGGCAACAGUGCGCUUCUAGAACAUCUGCACAAACUCCUGUCAGUGCUGGAAAGAAGGAUCGGUAACUCAGGACAUGAGAGAUGCAAAAAUCAUCACCCUCUUCAAGAACAAGGGCGAUAGAAGCGAC